UACGGGGGGAGCAAGCGUUGUUCGGAUUUACUGGGCGUAAAGGGCGCGUAGGCGGCACCGCAAGUCGACUGUGAAAUCUCCGGGCUUAACCCGGAAAGGUCAGCCGAUACUGCGGGGCUAGAGUGCAGAAGGGGCAACUGGAAUUCUCGGUGUAGCGGUGAAAUGCGUAGAUAUCAAGAGGAAAACCUGAGGUGAAGACGGGUUGCUGGGCCGACACUGACGCUGAGUGCGCGAAAGCCAGGGGAGCAAACGGG
rnacentral:rRNA from 1 species